GAUGAACGCUCGCGAUAGGCUUAACACAUGCAAGUCGAGGGGCAGCAUGGUCUUAGCUUGCUAAGGCUGAUGGCGACCGGCGCACGGGUGCGUAACGCGUAUGCAACUUGCCUCACAGAGGGGGAUAACCCGUCGAAAGACGGACUAAUACCGCGUACACUCUAUGUUGGGCAUCCAAUGUAGAGGAAAUGAAAUUCGCUGUGAGAUAGGCAUGCGUCCCAUUAGCUAGUUGGUGAGGUAACGGCUCACCAAGGCGACGAUGGGUAGGGGAACUGAGAGGUUGAACCCCCACACUGGUACUGAGGCACGGACCAGACUCCUACGGGAGGCAGCAGUGAGGAAUAUUGGUCAAUGGGCGAGAGCCUGAACCAGCCAAGUCGCGUGAAGGAUGACUGUCUUAUGGAUUGUAAACUUCUUUUAUACGGGAAUAACAAGAGUCACGUGUGGCUCCCUGCAUGUACCGUAUGAAUAAGCAUCGGCUAACUCCGUG
rnacentral:rRNA from 1 species